GUAAAUAAUUAAGGGCGUAUGGUGGAUGCCUAGGCUCUCAGAGGCGAUGAAGGACGUGAUAAGCUGCGAAAAGCUCCGUUUAGGUGCAAAUAACCUUUGAUGCGGAGAUCUCCGAAUGGGAUAACCCAAUAUGUUGAAGACAUAUUAUACCGUAAGGUAGGCAAACGCAGGGAACUGAAACAUCUAAGUACCUGCAGGAGAAGAAAACAAAAGUGAUUCCCCCAGUAGCGGCGAGCGACCGGGGAUAAGCCCAAACCGUUAUUGUUUCGGCAGUAGCGGGGUAGUAGGACUGCGACAUUGAUGAAAUAAAUGAAAUGGAACACCUUGGAAAAUGUGAUCACAGAGGGUGAUAAUCCCGUACAUGCAAGUUUAUGAAUCAUAGCAGUAUCCUGAGUAAGUCGGGACACGUGUAAUCCUGACCGAAUCCGCCGGGACCAUCCGGCAAGGCUAAAUACUCCUGAGAGACCGAUAGUGAACCAGUACCGUGAGGGAAAGGUGAAAAGCACUUCGAACAGAAGAGUGAAAUAGUCCCUGAACCCAUACGCCUACAAGCUGUCGGAGCCGCUUCGUGCGGUGACGGCGUGCCUUUUGCAUAAUGAGCCUACGAGUUACUCAUCACCAGCGAGGUUAAGUACUUCAGGUACGUAAGCCGAAGCGAAAGCGAGUCUGAAUAGGGCGUCAAGUUGGUGGUGGUAGACGCGAAACCUUAGUGAUCUACCCAUGGGCAGGGUGAAGGUUUGGUAACACAAACUGGAGGCCCGAACCGGUAAACGUUGAAAAGUUUUCGGAUGACCUGUGGGUAGGGGUGAAAGGCCAAUCAAACUGGGAAAUAGCUCGUACUCUCCGAAAUGCAUUUAGGUGCAGCCUCUGUUGUUUUGUUCUAGAGGUAGAGCUACUGAUUGGAUGCGAGGGCUUCACCGCCUAUCAAAUCCGGCCAAACUCCGAAUGCUAGAACAUGAAGACAGGGAGUGAGCCAGCGGGUGCUAAGGUCCGUUGACGAAAGAGGGAGAACUCAGACCAUCAGCUAAGGUCCCCAAUUAUAUGCUAAGUUGGAAUUAAAACGGGGUGGGACUGCUUAGACAGCUAGGAUGUUGGCUUGGAAGCAGCCAUUCAUUUAAAGAGUGCGUAACAGCUCACUAGUCGAGCGGUCCUGCAUGGAUAAUACGCGGGCAUAAGCAUAUAACCGAAGCUAUGGGAUUGUAGAUGAUACAAUCGGUAGGAGAGCAUUCCAUUCAGCGUAGAAGCAGUAUCGUGAGGUAUUGUGGAGCGGAUGGAAAAGCAAAUGUAGGCAUAAGUAACGAUAAUGCGGGUGAGAACCCCGCACGCCGAAAGAUCAAGGAUUCCCCGGCAAUGUCAAUCAUCCGGGGGUAAGUCGGAUCCUAAGGGUAAGCCGAGUGGCGAUCCCGAUGGCAAACAGGUUAAUAUUCCUGUACUGAUCAUAACUGCGAUGCAGCGACGCAGAGGUGACACUGCUGCGUACUGACGGAAUAGUACGUUGAAACCCGUAUUCUUUGAUACCGGUAGUGAAGCACGCCGGUAGAGAUGAAAGGUGAUAGUACCGCAAUGCUUCGGUUGCGCGGAUAACGCAGGUAAGCUGACUGCCAAGAAAACCUGCUAAGCUUCAGGUAAUGAUCAUCCGUACUGUAAACGGACACACGUGAUCAGGUAGAAAAUACUAAGGCGCUCGAGAGAUUCAUGGUUAAGGAACUAGGCAAAAUGGUCCUGUAACUUCGGGAUAAAGGACGCUCUUGUGAAAGAGCCGCAGAUAAUAGGCCCAGGCGACUGUUUACCAAAAACACAUGGCUAUGCUAAUUCGCAAGAAGAUGUAUAUGGCCUGACACCUGCCCGGUGCCGGAAGGUUAAGAGGAGAGCUCAGAGGCAACUCGAAGGUUUGAAUUGAAGCCCCGGUAAACGGCGGCCGUAACUAUAACGGUCCUAAGGUAGCGAAAUUCCUUGUCGGGU
rnacentral:rRNA from 1 species